CCCAUCUUCCUCAAUAUAUCUCACCGCAAUUGCACACACUUAGGUCUCCUCUCAUAAAUCCUCCCCCACAUCCCCACGUUUUGCUUCAAAAAUUUUGUUGUAUAAAUCCAGCAAACUUGGGUUGAGAGGUCGAAGUUAGUGUUUGGAUUUCCCGUUAAAACGCGAGACACCAUUCAAGUCCUCGUUGUGAACGAAGCUUCCGGUCCGAUUUUGUUUCAGAUCCAAAGGAAUUGUUGGAAAAGUUUUGUCUUUAAGGUUCAUUCUAAUCUUUAUCUUUUUUUCGGUAUUUACGUGAACACUUUUUAUGAAUGUUGUAUUGUUAUCUAAAUAUAUGUUCAUAUGGCCAUUUUGUGUUAAUCUGUUAGGUACAUUCGUGUUCCUAUAUUUGUCAUCUUAAAAUUUAUAAUGUUAAAUCUGUCAUAAGGACAAAAGGAGUUUGGAGCUUGACGUUAAUGAGGAUCAGAUUUUUAAAUUAGUUAAAUAAUUCAAUAAUUUCAAUCCCUUACUCUCUAGUAAUUGUGACAGCUUCCCGUGAAUUGUCCGAAUCUUCGAAUAAUUAUAAUAUAAAUGCUUCGCUAUUUAUUAGUUAAAACCUACUCUAUUUUCACAAAUAAAUUCCAUAACCUUUAGCCUACUCUAAAAAUGCUAGAAAAACUUUAGUCUAUGUAUUCAUAUCCAAACCUUAAAUUAAUGUGUUUAAGUAAUGAAUAGAUCAUGUGUGAAUUCCUGCAUCAUGAUACCUCUAAAUGACACACCUCGAUUUAACAUUCAAUUACAAAGAAUACCUUGUGUGCGUAUUGCAUCUUGGUAAACACAAUUAAUAAAAUACAAUAACUAAUUAAGUGGUAAUAGGUAAAAGGAAAACUCAAUAAAAUACAAGAAUAGCUAAAAAAUUGAUUUAAGUCUUACAUUAGUCAAUAAAAGCGAUUGUGCUAGAACUACGGCACUUGAAGGGUGCCUUACACCUUCCUCCCGGUCAAUAGAAUUCCUUAUUGAGUCUUCUAUUUUUGUAGACCAUAAAUUAAGAGUCAAACCUUCCUUUUGAUAAGGAAUUCAAAUAAAAGAUGACUUGGAACACCUAAAACUCAAUUCCAAGCGGCGACUCUAAAUAAUAGAUAAUCUUUUCUCAAAAUGUCACUUUAAUUGGAAAAACUCUUCCAACACAACCGCGUCGUAUGGUUGUGUGACAAAAAAGAGGUAUGACAGCCGAGCAAUGAUUUAAGUAGGAGGUGUUGAUGAUAGGCUACAAUUAUAUAUUUUAGUCGAUUAUUAUAUUCUAAUUUACUGCACUUUAGUUGAGUUUGCGCUCUAAUCACUAAUAUUUUGCACUAAGUAUGUAUUUUAUACCUUGUAGGAGUGAUUUUGAGCUAUGUAGAUGGUAUGGAAUGAAUUUUAGUGAUUUGGAACUUUGAAGUUUGAGUAAAAAUCCCAAGGAAUUAAGCCGGAAUAGUAUUCAGGGAUCAAUGGAUGAUAGAGCGACGAAAUGAAGAAUCGAGUAGGCAUAUUUCACACUGUCUAGCAAAAUGCAUAUAACUUUUCUCUCAGAACUCCAUUUGGCUCCACAAAAUAUGGUUGGAAAGCUAAUUAAAGUUCUACAACUUUUAAGUUUUAUGUUUUCCAAAUUCUAAAAGGACGAGGCGAAAAAUACUGUCAAAACUGCUACUACGGAGCUGGACGCGGACUGAGGUAGUGCACUGUGAAAAUAUCGUGCCCGAACCGCGACCGCGAGCGUCCAGACCUAAAAAAUUAUCCUUUUUCGUGUAGGAGAAGGUAUAAUUAUUUGGACCCAACUCUACUUGGUAUAUAUACAUGGAAAAACGAUAUUUGGAGGGAGGUAGACAUAUUUUUGAAACAUAUUAGACCUAAGGAGGCAAAGACACAAUAAGUGUAAUGUGGAGAAUUCUUCUACGAGUUUUCCUUCCUCUUCCUAUUUUUUCAUUGUUGGUUAUGACUUUUAGUAUUAUAGUUUUACAUAUUAUUAUAAAUAGCCAAUUUGUUAUCUAGGAUUUUAAUAGAACCUUUUAUAUGAUAAAUUCUUGUUAUAUUUU
rnacentral:lncRNA from 1 species